rnacentral:rRNA from 1 species
GUAGGGAAUAUUGGGCAAUGGAUGCAAGUCUGACCCAGCCAUCCCGCGUGCCGGAAGAAGGCCCUCAGGGUUGUAAACGGCUUUUGACGGUGAAGAAUCGACAGGAUGCGUCCUGUUUUGACGGUAGCCGUUGAAUAAGCACCGGCUAACUCCGUGCCAGCAGCCGCGGUAAUACGGAGGGUGCGAGCGUUGUCCGGAUUUAUUGGGUUUAAAGGGUGCGUAGGCUGGAAGGUCAGUCAGCGGUGAAAAGCUGUCGCUUAACGAUAGUCUUGCCGCAGAUACUUCCUUUCUUGGAUGGGGAGGAGGCCACUGGAACGGAUGGUGUAGCGGUGAAAUGCAUAGAUAUCAUCCAGAACACCGAUUGCGAAGGCAGGUGGCUGUACCUUAAUCGACGCUGAUGCACGAAAGCAUGGGGAGCAAACAGGAUUAGAUACCCCUGUAGUUC